CAACAGUGUUACCCCUUAUGUUUUAUUCAUGACGACCAAUAAAAAACAACAGUGUUACCCCUUAUGUUUUUUUUCAUGACGACCAAUAAAAAACAACAGUGGUACCCCUUAUGUUUUUGUUCAUGACGACAAAAAACAACAGUGUUACCCCUUAUGUUUUAUUCAUGACGACCAAUAAAAAACAAGUGUUACCCCUUAUGUUUUUUUUCAUGACGACCAAUAAAAAACAACAUGUUACCCCUUAUGUUUUUUUCAUGACGACAAAAAACAACAGUGUUACCCCUUAUGUUUUAUUAAUGACGACCAAUAAAAAACAAUAGUGUUACCCCUUAUGUUUUUUUUCAUGACGACCAAUAAAAAACAACAGUGUUACCCCUUAUGUUUUUGUUCAUGACGACAAAAAACAACAGUGUUACCCCUUAUGUUUUAUUUAUGACGACCAAUAAAAAACAUGUGUUACCCCUUAUGUUUUUUUUCAUGACGACCAAUAAAAACGACAGUGUUACCCCUUAUGUUUUUUUCAUGACGACCGAUAAAAAACAACAGUGUUACCCCUUAUGUUUUUUUUCAUGACGACCAAUAAAAACGACAGUGUUACCCCUUGUGUUUUUUUCAUGACGACCGAUAAAAAACAACAGUGUUACCCCUUAUGUUUUUUUUCAUGACGGCCGAUAAAAAACAACAGUGUUACCCCUUAUGUUUUUGUUCAUGACGACAAAAAACAACAGUGUUACCCCUUAUGUUUUAUUCAUGACGACCAAUAAAAAACAACAGUGUUACCCCUUAUGUUUUUUUUCAUGACGACCAAUAAAAAACAACAGUGUUACCCCUUAUGUUUUUUUCAUGACGACCAAUGAAAAACAACCUUGUUACCCCUUAUGUUUUAUUCAUGACGACCAAUAAAAAACAACAUGUUACCCCUUAUGUUUUUUUCAUGACGACCGAUAAAAAACAACAGUGUUACCCCUUAUGUUUUUUU
ensembl:lncRNA